GCUCAGAAGCACUCAGAUCUACAUCAGAGGGUGACAGCACAAACCAGUAGUUCCAGUUCACUGUGGUUUGUAUGCUCCAGAGACUUUUCUAAUAGCAAAUCUGUUCCAAGCGUCACUUACGCAGCAACAGCAGUCACAGAAGCAUGCAUCACAUUGGCCCCACAUCAUCAGGACACAAACAUGGGUCAUCACUACCACAUGCAACACAAGAGAGGCUUCUCUGCUCACAGAUAUUCAGCUUAACCUUCACAUCUGCAGAGCUGGACCGGCCUCAGCAUUAGCCAGCGUGAGUUGUCUCCUUUCCACUUUGUGCUUUCCAGAGACAGAGAACACAGCAGGAAUGACAGCUCUCACUCUCCUGGGUGGCUGAGUCACUGGCCCAAAUAAAUGAAACUCCAUUAAUU
rnacentral:lncRNA from 1 species